AAUCCAAAGUUUGCAAAUUUUGUAUACUUUUGUAUUGCAGUUUUGUAUCGCAUGCAAUACAAAAGUAUACCGGCAAAAUUUGCAAACUUUACAAGGCUAU